GACGAACGCUGGCGGCGUGCCUAAUACAUGCAAGUAGAACGCUGAAGGAGGAGCUUGCUUCUCCGGAUGAGUUGCGAACGGGUGAGUAACGCGUAGGUAACCUGCCUGGUAGCGGGGGAUAACUAUUGGAAACGAUAGCUAAUACCGCAUAACAGUAGAUAUUGCAUGAUAUCUGCUUGAAAGGUGCAAUUGAAUCACUACCAGAUGGACCUGCGUUGUAUUAGCUAGUUGGUGAGGUAACGGCUCACCAAGGCGACGAUACAUAGCCGACCUGAGAGGGGGAUCGGCCACAAUGGGACUGAGACACGGCCCAGACUCCUACGGGAGGCAGCAGUAGGGAAUCUUCGGCAAUUGACGGAAGUCUGACCGAGCAACGCCGCGUGAGUGAAGAAGGUUUUCGGAUCGUAAAGCUCUGUUGUAAGAGAAGAACGAGUGUGAGAGUGGAAAGUUCACACUGUGACGGUAUCUAACCAGAAAGGGACGGCUAACUACGUG
rnacentral:rRNA from 1 species